UAGCUCAUUACAACAGCCGUUGUUUCUUGGAUCUCUUCUCUACUUGGAUAACUGUGGUAAUUCUAGAGCUAAUACAUGCAACAAAGCUCCGAUCGUAAGUGACGAGCGCACUUAUUAGACCAAAGCCAUCCGGCUUUGGCCGUACUUUGGUGACUCUGGAUAACCUAGCAGAUCGCAUGGGCUCGUCCCGGCGACAAAUCUUUCAAGUGUCUGCCUUAUCAACUUUCGAUGGUAGUUUCUGUGACUACCAUGGUUGUGACGGGUAACGGAGGAUCAGGGUCUGACUCCGGAGAGGGAGCCUGAGAAACGGCUACCACUUCUAAGGAAGGCAGCAGGCGCGCAAAUUACCCAUUCUCAGAACGAGGAGGUAGUGAAGAAAAAUACCAAGAGGAGGCUCAUUGAGUUUCCUCAUUGGAAUGAGUACAAUCUAAAUCUUUUAACGAGGAUCUAGUGGAGGGCAAGUCUGGUGCCAGCAGCCGCGGUAAUUCCAGCUCCGCAAGUGUAUUCCUAUACUGUUGCGGUUAAAAAGCUCGUAGUUGGAUCUGAGUGCUUAGCGUCUGGUGCAGUUCUGCUGUUACUGGACGCGGCACAUGAUUGGUCAAUCGGUUGCUGUUGUUGCCUUCACGGGUGAUGACAGUGGACUGUUGACAAGUUUACUUUGAACAAAUCAGAGUGCUCAAUACGGGCGUUUCGCUUGUAUGGUUGUGCAUGGAAUAAUAGAAUAGGACCUUGGUUCUAUUUUGUUGGUUUUCGGAAUUGAGGUAAUGAUUAAGAGGGACAGACGGGGGCAUUCGUAUUCCAGCGUGAGAGGUGAAAUUCUUGGAUCGUUGGAGGACGAACUACUGCGAAAGCAUUUGCCAAGAAUGUUUUCAUUAAUCAAGAACGAAAGUAUGGGUC
rnacentral:rRNA from 1 species